AGAGUUCUCAUUGUUUCUCUGGAAAAUUUUCCAGCGCUUUGUUUACUCAGCGUAGUGGAUAACAGUUUUGGAAUGUGGUUUCUUAUGCAUGGUGUGCCUGGUUUUUGGCUCUGGAAGCUCUCAUGUUCUCUUGGUGCUGAUGUUCGGCUUUUGGUACCAGUGAAUCACAUCUCUUCGUGGUGAUUCAUUGGCACUUGGUUCCGGCGAUUUCGAUCAUAGUGUCUUUUCUGAUGGUGUCGUCUGGCUCUUUUCCGGGUUAAUUCGGGUUUCUUUCUAAUCUUCGCUUCAGACUAUUUUGGUUCAUUUAUUCUUUUGUUUUGAAGCAUGCAGUUGGAUCUCUACAAAGUGAAGGUCGAUUUGGCUAGGGUUUUAGCUCCUUUAGUGUUUCUCUUUUUGGUUUUAUUCUUGGUUUCGACAGAUUGAGUUUUCUGGUGGUGGAAAUCCGACGGCUAAAGUCUCAUAUUUUAUUUUGUCUUUUUUGACUAAAGUUGUCUCGACGGUUCUCCUUUCUUGAGAUCAGUAUCUUUGGUGGAUCGACAAAAAGCUGCUCCGGCGGCAAUUUUCAAAUGGUGAUGACGGUGGCCGACCGUUGUGACGCGUGUCUCCUCCUUUACCGAGGUUCUUAUACGUAUCCCACACUUGCUAGUAUUCGUACUGUCGUGUCGAUUUUCAAAUCCCUUUGGCAUUUUUUUUUGUUUUGGACUCUGUUGGGCCUCGGUUUAUUUUUUGUUUUUCUGCUUUCGGGUUUCAUUGUAAAUGAAUUUGGUUUUGUAAUUUAUUUUCAGAUGCAAAAAAAAGCCCAAAGCCCAUGAGAGCAAGUGUACUAAUGCACUCUCUCUUUCCGAAAUAUAAGAUGUUUAGAAAAAAAAUUGUGUUCUAAUAUGUAAGAUGUUUUAAUAUUUUUAGGUAAUUUAAAUUUUAUCAAAAUUUGUGUAAUCAAUCCAAUUUAAUUGUUUUGUUUUGUAAUUGGUUGAAUAGUUUUAAUUUAUGGUUUUAAUAAUACUUUUUAAGUAAAAAGUAAUUUUUUUAAUAAGCGUGUUUUUUCUAGAACAUCUUAUAUUUAAAAACGGAGAUGGAGUAUAUUCCAAGACCCAGCAAAAUUCUUGGGUUGAACCAGGAAUAAAUGGAAAAAGAAGAAAAACACGAAAGUUUUUCGCUAGUUAGAUUAAAAUCUAAACUGUACGUAGAGAUUUCGUCUUGCAAGAAAUAUUUUUCAGGAUACAUUGCUUCCACUUUCGUAAUGUAAUUUGCUAAUUACGCAUAG
rnacentral:lncRNA from 1 species